ACUCAAAUGAAUUGACGGGGAGCCGCACAAGCAGUGGAGCGUGUUGUUUAAUUCGAUGGUAAGCGAAGAACCUUACCAAGGCUUGACAUCCUAGGAAUUAUUGUGAAAGCAGUGAGUGCCUUCGGGAGCCUAGUGACAGGUGUUGCAUGGCCGUCGUCAGCUCGUGUCGUGAGAUGUUUGGUUAAGUCCAUCAACGAGCGCAACCCUUGUGAUUAGUUGAAUUUUUCUAAUCAGACUGCCCCGGUAACGGGGAGGAAGGAGGGGAUGAUGUCAGGUCAGUAUUACCCUUACGCCUUGGGCGACAAACGCGCUACAAUGGCCGGUACAAUGGGCAGCCAAGCCGCAAGGCGGAGCAAAUCCCAUCAAAGCCGGUCCCAGUUCGGAUAAGAGGCUGAAACUCGCCUCUUUGAAGUUGGAAUUGCUAGUAAUCGCAGAUCAGAAUGCUGCGGUGAAUACGUUCCCGGCUCUUGUACACACCGCCCGU
rnacentral:rRNA from 1 species